UUUAAAAAAAAAGAUGGAACAUGGAAAUUACUGAAAUAAUCUCAGACUGCAUUUGAAGUAUAAGGAAGAGAAGUUCUUUAUUAUCCCACAGGAAGCGAGACUGAAAGCUGGACAUUCAUCAGAACAAAGAACAAUAUUCAAAUCCAGGGAUUUCCAUUUGUCAAUGAUUUUGCACCAAGUCUAGAGAGAAGCAUCCAGACAAAACAUUAUUAUUUGUAAGCAGCAUUAACUUACAACAGAUAAUGAAAGGCUUCCAGCCCAUCUGCAAAAAUGCCUCUGAAGAAGAGUUCAUUACCCACAUAAUCAAUUUGGGAAACAGAGAAGGAGAUGCGCUGAGGAGAAGAGAGAGAGG